GAGUCUGGAAAGGCGUAAAGAGCUUGAAAGGUACUGACGAUAGGUUUGCCGAUCCGUCUGUCUAGGAUAUCUUUUCCGCCAUUUGGAGCGCUCUUUUAUUCAGAGCCAUCUUUUGGUACAGUCUGUCACUUCUAUAUGUGUAUAUUCUCGUUCAUGGGUACGGCGGGGCCCUGUCCCGCCAUAUGAUUCUGUUGGUCCAUUUAGAGGUCUGUAGACAUGUUUGUGGGUUGGGAUCUUUCUGUACAGCUGUGUGUAUAUGUUGUGUUUGGGCGAUCCCAUUCGCCGCGGCGGCCGGUCCGCAUAUAUUUAAAUGUUACUCUGUUGGCCCUGUGUGGCCUUUGUUGGUA